UAUUUUAAAGAGAGUUUGAUCCUGGCUCAGGACGAACGCUGGCGGCGUGCCUAAUACAUGCAAGUCGAACGAACGGAGGAAGAGCUUGCUCUUCCAAAGUUAGUGGCGGACGGGUGAGUAACACGUGGGCAACCUGCCUGUAAGUUGGGGAUAACUCCGGGAAACCGGGGCUAAUACCGAAUGAUAAAGUGUGGCGCAUGCCACGCUUUUGAAAGAUGGUUUCGGCUAUCGCUUACAGAUGGGCCCGCGGUGCAUUAGCUAGUUGGUAGGGUAAUGGCCUACCAAGGCAACGAUGCAUAGCCGACCUGAGAGGGUGAUCGGCCACACUGGGACUGAGACACGGCGCCCAGGACUCCUACGGAGGCAGCAGUAGGAAUCUUCCGCAAUGGGACGAAAGUCUGACGAGCAACGCCGCGUGUAUGAAGAAGGUUUUCGGAUCGUAAAUACUUUGUAGAGAAGAACAGGAUAAGAGUAACUGCUUGUCCCCUUGAGAUCUAACCAGAAAGCCACGGGGCUAAUACGUGACCAGGCAGCCGCCGGUAAUACCCGUAGGUGGCAAGGCGAUUGUCCGGAUUUAUGGGGCGUUUAAAGCGCGCCCGCAGGCCGGGUCUUUUAAGGUCUGAUGUGAAAAAGGGACCCGGCUUAACCGGGGGCAGGAGGUCAUUGGGAAACUGGAAGGGACGGAGUGCAAGAAUGAGGAGAGCUGGAAUUCCACCGUGGAUAGCGGUGAAAUGGCGUAGAUAUGUGGAGGAAACAGUGGCGGAAGGCGACCUCUCUGGGUUUUGUAAACUGACGCUGAGGGCCGCGAAAAGCAGUGGGGGAGCAAAACAGGAUUAGAUACCCUGUAGUCCACGCGCGUAAACGAUGAGUUGCUAAGUGUUAGGGUUUCCGCCCCCUUAGUGCUGCAGCCUAACGGACAUUAGCCACUCCGCCUGGGGAGUACGGGACCGGGCAAGGAUUGAAACUCAAAGAAUUGACGGGAGUGGCCCGGCCACAAGCCGGUGGAGCAUGUGGUUUAAUCGAUAGCAAACCUGCGAAGAACCUUACCAGGCUUUGGGACAUCCUUUGACCACUCCUGGAGACAAGAGCUUUCCCCUUCGGGAACAAAGCUGCAGUGGUGCAUGGUUGUCGUCAGCUCCAGUUUGUCGUGAGAUGUUGGGUUAAGGGCUCCCGGCAACGAGCGCCAACCCAUUGAUUUUAGUUUUCCCGAGCCAUUAUAGUUGCGGCACUCUAAAGUGACUGGCCGGUGCAAGCCGAGGAAGGGUGGGGAUGACGUCAAAUCAUCCAUGACCCCUUAUGGACCUGGGGCUACACCACGUGCACAAUGGAUAGUACCAAAGUCGCGAAGCCCGCAGAGGUGGGAGCUAAUCCCAUUAAAAAUAUUCUCAGGGUUCGGAUUGUAGGCUGCAAACUCGACCUAAUGAAGCCGGAAUCCCCGUAGUAUAUCGUGGCAUCAGGAUGCCCACGGUGAAUAACGUUUCCCGGGGGCCUUGCUACACCCCCCCACGCCCGUCACACCACCCACGAGGAGAGUUUGUAACCCACCCGAAGGUCGGGUUUAGGUACAACCUUUAUGGAGCCAGCCGCCGAAGGGGUGGGGACAGGAUAAUUGGGUGUUGGGAGAAGUCGUAAACAAGGUAGCACGUAUCGGGAAGGUGCGGCGCUGGAUCCACCUCCUUUCUAAGGAA
rnacentral:rRNA from 1 species